UAUGAAUUAUUUAUCUACUUUUGAUGACGGGAUUUAGAAUCUUAAGAUUAGGUGAUUUUUUAUUAGGUGUGGUCUCCUGUAACCCCUGUCUGGCCUGGAAUUCAGUAUUCCAGGGGAUGAUCUUAAACUGCUUAUUGAGAACAGAUAGCAUCUUGCUUUGUAGCUUUGGCUAUGUUGACCAGGCUGGGCACUGCCUCUUGAUUGUUGGCCACCCCUCAACCCUUAUUCAUUUUUUCCCUCUAUGUGAGGAUAGCUUUGUAAAAGUCAGUUCUCUUCACCAUGUUUGCUUCAAGAAGUGGUCAGGCUUUGCCACAGUCACCUUUACCACUAGGUGUGAGUUUCUGAGCUUUCUGUCUUCAAGUGCUUUGGCACAUACAAACACUUGAACUCCUCAGUCACCAUACUAGGUUUAUUUGGUGGUAGGGAUAGAACCUAGGGUUUGAGUUAGGCCUACUUGAACUAACAUACUCAAAUUUGAGUUUUUAUAAGCAAGACUUUGGGGAUUGGUAGCAUUUUUAUAAUGGACUAUUUCAAACAAAGGAAAAAAAUGAAAUGAACUGCCAUUUAGCUCCAACAGAUUUUCAGUGAUGGACAUUUUCCUAUACACUGCAGAUAGAUAAUUUCUAGAUAAAUCUUAAGUCUUACUACCUCACAACUGUUUCUAGGAUUUGUCUGUUGAAAACCAACUUCUUUUUUUUUUUUUUAAGAUUAAUUUAUUUAUUAUAUGUAAGUACACUGUAGCUGUCUUCAGACAAUCCAGAAGAGGGAGUCAGAUCUUUUUAUGGAUGGUUGUGAACCACCAUGUGGUUGCUGGGAUUUGAACUCCAAACCUUCGGAAGAGCAGUCGGGUGCUCUUACCCACUGAGCCAUUUCACCAGCCCCACCAACUUCUUAUUAAUACCUUCCUGUAACAAUAUAUGAAAUGAACCCACAGAAGCCAGAAUUAGCUGCCUGACCUGUGUACAGGAGCCAAAUUCUACCUAGCUUUCUGGAAAAACAGGAAGGUGUGCAUAUGGUUUUCUUUGAAUCCCUCUUUCAUUCUUUUAAAAUUCUUUUUUCCUCAGCUCCCCAAAUGUUGAGAUAAUAGGUAUCUGCAGUGCUACCAUUCAGCUCCAAUUCCUUUAUUUUGGAACAUCCACAGAUUGUACAAAUAGAAAUUUGUGGUCAGUGUUCAUUUGUGUCAAGAGCAUAGGAGGAAGUAGCUGAGCUGGUCUGGAGUCUAUGUACAGCAUUCCAUUCAAGAGGCUGGAGCAGGAAGAUUGCAAAAGCUUUUUGGAAAAAGCAAAAUUGGGAGUUCAAUUUUAGCUUAAAAGUUCCAUAUUGAGUUGGAGCUCAGUAUAUGGAGCUCAAUCACCUCUACAUAGUCUCAAAAAAUAAUCAAACAUGGGCCAUACAUUUCAGGUUUUGCUUCAUUUUGUUUUCUUUUUCAAGUCUCUUGAUGGUUAAGUCCUACCUUGACUUUACUGGAAAGAUUAGGUCAUUUCUCAUUUUAUCUUGUCUCUUUAGUUCUAAACAUUUCUACACAACUUUACCAUGAAAGGUUAUUUAAGAUUAUUUUUUUUAAGCCUAAGCAUUUGCAGCUAUCACCAGCUUUAGUUUCAGGUUUCUCUCCUCCAGUUUUUGCAGAAAAUAAACUUUAGUAACAUUUUAAAGUAGUUAUGUAUAAGAGUGCUUGCAGUGUUUUCACUACAAGUGUGCUUAGGUCAGAGGACAACUUUAGCCCCUUCUCCUGUGGGUCUUUUGGGGGUUGGUACCCUCAGGUGUCAAGCUGGGUGCCUACCCAGCUAAUGCCUUUCUUUCUGCAUCUUUCUGGGUCCUUAAAACAUAGGCCUUUGAAAUAAUCUAAUCAGUUCUCAAUCUAAUUGCUUUGAAUUAAAAUACAUUUUGUGAUUGCCUCUUGGGUACAGACUUUAUAAGGUUCAUUUUUAUACAUGUGGGCCAAUUACAUUCAAAAGUCAAGCCCCCCUUCCACUAUGUGGUCACUGGGGAACCAAACUUAGGUUGUCAGCUUCUAGAAGUCAAGGGCUUUGGGGGAACUCAAGAGGAAGCCUAGGCAGGCCUCUGCCCCCGGAAUGCUGGAAUUAAAGGUGUGCACCACCACACCCGAUAUUAAUAUAUGU
rnacentral:lncRNA from 1 species